ensembl:lncRNA
CCAGGUUGUAUCAGAGGGUUCAGCCCUCACGUGUCCCGGCAGGUCCCUGAGGUCCUGUGACCCGGGCCUGCUGACGGGCCCGACUACGCUGAAAACAAAAGGAGGCAGAGCCUUCUGUUCUGGAGGGUGACCGUCCACACCGAAACGGUUGUGGACCCUGCAGGUCAGCAAACCCACCUUGAACCACCAUGACCAGCGUCAACUCUCCAGCCUGCCUGCUCGCCCGAAACCACUUCUACCGAAGUCUACCGCCGAGUCCAGAACCCACCAAGCCCGCACACAAGCAGAGACUGCCCACGCUUUGGGUUACCGUGGAAACAGCUCCAGGACUGCCGGGUCUCGUGGGAACCAAAGGAUUAUGGGUCAGCAUCGUCCUCGGCUCUUCUUCCUCUUCCUCCAACUUCAAACCAAGCAACCCCGCCGACCAGAGAGCCAAGUAGAUGAAACAAGCACACCGUUCCUCUGCGUUCCUCUGAACGUCCACACUCAAUAACAGGGCGGCGAUCCCCUGGGGACAGGCUCCUCCUCCUCUGAGCUCACUGUAGCAGGCAACGAACCACAGAGCGACCCUCCAGAACCACGAGCAGGGCGUGGCUAAAAAAAAAAAUGGCUCCAGUUCCUCAAACCAAAGCGUGAACUCGUUCCUGAUUGGUUUAUGGUUUUGUUGCUGUUUUCAGGUGUCAGUGAAUAAAACGUGAAACUGGUGAAGUGAUGGUGAUGUUAGAGCAGGGCGCCCGGAUGAAGAGCCCCACACGGCCACAGAAGCUCGUUUCACUUCCUCUUUUAGUUCCUGUGAUAUUUGAGGCCACAUGUGCGAACUGUGACGAGGGCUUUAAUCUAAACGUUCUGACUGCAUGUGUGACGAUUAUCACACUAAUUUCACACGCGUGUUCUUUAAACUGCAUUCAGUGAUGUUUGAUUUACUGUUUUGUGGGCGUCUUCGUUUUCACCUCCUAAAUAAACGGCGCUCGGUCCCUGUGCAUGCUGCAGGCCGGGACCACUUCAGUAUAUGUCAGAGAACAUGACGCAUGCUAAUCUGCAGGCAGUUCAUAGAUGCAGUGACAGGUGUCUACAGGUGUGCGGAGACAGGUAGAUUUACCUGCUGCAUCGGGUUGAUGCUGAUAUUUCAUCACGGCCUCCGGAGUGAGCUUUAUGUCUCAAUCUGCUCCAACAAUGAAAUCAAAUAAAGUGCAACAGCUGAGCGAGCUUUCAUUCAGCAAUAAAGCUACACAACAUGGGGCGCUCAUUUACAAACACCAGUCGAACUGAAGUUUCACACUUUGUUUGGUAGAAAAAAAUCAAAUUGUUGCUUAAAUUUUCACAAAAUGUCAGAAUCUGCACGUCAUGAACAAAAAUUUAAAGCUAAUUUUUCAGGAUUUGUUGGGUUCAUCCUCUGGGGGCCGCGAUGUCAUUUGUAUUUCACCUCUUUCCCCUCCUCGCCGUGUUUGGUCUCAUUCUCUUCAGCUCAGCCUCACGUGUCUGAAUUUACACUGAUUGUUUCACGGACAUGUUGUAGAAACACAACUGAUCUGAAAUCACACAAAAACAUAAAAUCCUCGUAGUAGUUAUAUUUGUUUACUGUUAAAAGCACAAACAUGUUUAGUGAAUGAUUUUCAAAACUUGAAAUGCAAAUAUAAACUGAAAACCUAAGCAC